AUUGAACGCUGGCGGCAGGCUUAACACAUGCAAGUCGAGCGGGGUGAUGGUGCUUGCACUAUCACUUAGCGGCGGACGGGUGAGUAAUGCUUAGGAAUCUGCCUAUUAGUUGGGGACAACAUCUCGAAAGGGAUGCUAAUACCGCAUACGUCCUACGGGAGAAAGCAGGGGAUCACUUGUGACCUUGCGCUAAUAGAUGAGCCUAAGUCGGAUUAGCUAGUUGGUGGGGUAAAGGCCUACCAAGGCGACGAUCUGUAGCGGGUCUGAGAGGAUGAUCCGCCACACUGGGACUGAGACACGGCCCAGACUCCUACGGGAGGCAGCAGUGGGGAAUAUUGGACAAUGGGGGGAACCCUGAUCCAGCCAUACCGCGUGUGUGAAGAAGGCCUUAUGGUUGUAAAGCACUUUAAGCGAGGAGGAGGCUCUUUUGGUUAAUACCCAAGAUGAGUGGACGUUACUCGCAGAAUAAACACCGGCUAACUCUGUGCCAGCAGCCGCGGUAA
rnacentral:rRNA from 1 species